CAACUGACUAGAAUUAGCCUACAAGAAGAAGUUUUCUUUCACCUUAGUGAGAUAAUUUAUUAUGGCAUAAGUAACAGAAAUGUAGCAUUUGGGGAUGAAAAGCACAGCUACCAGCCAAAGACUCCCUGGGGGAUGGCGGGGGGAAUAUGGGCCUGUGCAUCAGAAAGCCCCAGGCACACUUUCAUCAACUUCGAUAAAUGCAGAGGGAACACCAGAGGACGUUUUUCUUCAACUCUGCACAGCUAUUGACUCUAUUUUCUGAAGGCAAAAAUGCAUGUUAGAAUGGAAACAGAAAAACAUUAAAAAGUUCAUUCCUUAA
rnacentral:sRNA from 1 species